GACGAACGCUGGCGGCGUGCUUAACACAUGCAAGUCGAACGGAAAGGCCCCUUUGGGGGUACUCGAGUGGCGAACGGGUGAGUAACACGUGAGUAACCUGCCCUUGACUUCGGGAUAACUUCAGGAAACUGGGGCUAAUACCGGAUAGGAAUCCUUGCUGCAUGGUGGGGGGUGGAAAGCUUCGGCGGUUUUGGAUGGACUCGCGGCGUAUCAGCUUGUUGGUGGGGUAGUGGCUUACCAAGGCUUUGACGGGUAGCCGGCCUGAGAGGGCGACCGGCCACAUUGGGACUGAGAUACGGCCCAGACUCCUACGGGAGGCAGCAGUGGGGAAUAUUGCACAAUGGGCGGAAGCCUGAUGCAGCAACGCCGCGUGCGGGAUGACGGCCUUCGGGUUGUAAACCGCUUUCAGCAGGGGCGAAGCUUGUGGUGACGGUACCUGCAGAAGAAGCACCGGCUAACUACGUG
rnacentral:rRNA from 1 species